rnacentral:sRNA from 1 species
UUAAGUCUGUGAGUGUGAAGUCCGCUGUUUACCCACAGAGCCGGUCCAGUCCAGGCAGCAGUUAAACAAGCUUCUCACGUUUCCCCAUCAAUGUGCCAUCACUUUGUCCUUCAGGGACCACCGGUUAGCGAUGCCUAAUCAGUGCCUGGCAGGUGGCCACUAAUUCAUGACACACAGAUUUCGACAUAGCUACU